GUGAAGUCGCACUGGAACAGCUAGUUAAAUCUAAAAUUACGAAAAUUCCUUCUUCAUAUUGUGCUUAUUAAAAACCGGAAAACAUAAAGCUAUCAUUCAAAGUAAAACUUUGGAUGAAGCCAACCAUUCAAAUAAUAGAAUUGAAAAACCACCACUAGUAACCAAUUCAUUGCAAAAGAAAAAUGAGAAAUUUGAUAAAAGUCAAUUGGAUGCUUUAAUAACUGAUCUUGAAGCAUGGGAAGAAGACAUGAUUGUAAUGGCAAAUACGGAAAUCACGAGUUUGAAGAAACUCGAAAAUUCUAAUUUAAAAAUAGACAAGGAGCUGGU